UUGGUUGCAUUGGAUGAGGACAACGCACAACACUUAUCGAUAAAAAUUGGAGGGGAAGUCUGGGGCCCGCAGCCGCGGGAAUUCCCGCUCCCAUAGCGUAUAUUAACGUUGUUGCAGUUAAAAAGCUCGUAAUUGAAAUGAAGUGGGAAACUUUUGGAUUUUCGUUUGAAUUGCUUGUUGGUUCACACUCUUUCCAAAUAGUUUGCAUGGGUAUUCAUUUAUCUGUGUAUUGCAUUGGGCCAUUUACGGGGAAAAAAUAAAAGGGUCCAAAGCAGACUUUGGUUUGAAUACUUUACCUGGAAAUAAUUCGAAAAGGUUUUCNGGUUCAAUUUGAUGGGUUGGUCCGUGAAGGCAAGAUUAAAAGGAACAGUUGGGGGUAUUCAUAUUCAAUAGUCAAAGGUGAAAUUCUCGAAUUUAUGGAAAAUAAACUANGGCAAAAGCAUUUACCAAGGAGGUUUUCUUUAAUCAAAAACAAAAGUAAGGGAAUCAAAAAG
rnacentral:rRNA from 1 species